AACGAACGCUGGCGGCAUGCCUAACACAUGCAAGUCGAACGAGACCUUCGGGUCUAGUGGCGCACGGGUGCGUAACGCGUGGGAAUCUGCCCUUGGGUUCGGAAUAACACAGAGAAAUUUGUGCUAAUACCGGAUGAUGACGUAAGUCCAAAGAUUUAUCGCCCAGGGAUGAGCCCGCGUAGGAUUAGCUAGUUGGUGGGGUAAAGGCUCACCAAGGCUACGAUCCUUAGCUGGUCUGAGAGGAUGAUCAGCCACACUGGGACUGAGACACGGCCCAGACUCCUACGGGAGGCAGCAGUGGGGAAUAUUGGACAAUGGGCGAAAGCCUGAUCCAGCAAUGCCGCGUGAGUGAAGAAGGCCUUAGGGUUGUAAACUGCUUUAGUCUAGGAAAAAGGGGUGCGAGGUUAAUAACCCUCGUGCUUUGAUGGUACUGGAAGAAUAAGCACCGGCUAACUACGUGCCAGCAGCCGCGGUAAGGAGUAGUACA
rnacentral:rRNA from 1 species